UCGAGCGAAUGGAUUAAGAGCUUGCUCUUAUGAAGUUAGCGGCGGACGGGUGAGUAACACGUGGGUAACCUGCCCAUAAGACUGGGAUAACUCCGGGAAACCGGGGCUAAUACCGGAUAACAUUUUGAACCGCAUGGUUCGAAAUUGAAAGGCGGCUUCGGCUGUCACUUAUGGAUGGACCCGCGUCGCAUUAGCUAGUUGGUGAGGUAACGGCUCACCAAGGCAACGAUGCGUAGCCGACCUGAGAGGGUGAUCGGCCACACUGGGACUGAGACACGGCCCAGACUCCUACGGGAGGCAGCAGUAGGGAAUCUUCCGCAAUGGACGAAAGUCUGACGGAGCAACGCCGCGUGAGUGAUGAAGGCUUUCGGGUCGUAAAACUCUGUUGUUAGGGAAGAACAAGUGCUAGUUGAAUAAGCUGGCACCUUGACGGUACCUAACCAGAAAGCCACGGCUAACUACGUGCCAGCAGCCGCGGUAAUACGUAGGUGGCAAGCGUUAUCCGGAAUUAUUGGGCGUAAAGCGCGCGCAGGUGGUUUCUUAAGUCUGAUGUGAAAGCCCACGGCUCAACCGUGGAGGGUCAUUGGAAACUGGGAGACUUGAGUGCAGAAGAGGAAAGUGGAAUUCCAUGUGUAGCGGUGAAAUGCAUAG
rnacentral:rRNA from 1 species